rnacentral:rRNA from 1 species
UACGUAGGGUGCAAGCGUUGUCCGGAAUUAUUGGGCGUAAAGAGCUCGUAGGCGGUCUGUCGCGUCUGCUGUGAAAACUCAGGGCUUAACCCUGAGCUUGCAGUGGGUACGGGCAGACUAGAGUGCGGUAGGGGAGACUGGAAUUCCUGGUGUAGCGGUGAAAUGCGCAGAUAUCAGGAGGAACACCAGUGGCGAAGGCGGCGAUCUGGGAAGAUACUGACGCUGAGGUGCGAAAGCGUGGGGAGCAAACAGG